rnacentral:rRNA from 1 species
AGUGAACGCUGGCGGUAGGCCUAACACAUGCAAGUCGAACGGCAGCACAGUAAGAGCUUGCUCUUACGGGUGGCGAGUGGCGGACGGGUGAGGUAUACAUCGGAAUCUACUUUUUCGUGGGGGAUAACGUAGGGAAACUUACGCUAAUACCGCAUACGACCUACGGUUGAAAUCAGGGGAUCUUCGGACCUUGCGCGAUUGAAUGAGCCGAUGUCGGAUUAGCUAGUUGGCGGGGUAAAGGCCCACCAAGGCGACGAUCCGUAGCUGGUCUGAGAGGAUGAUCAGCCACACGGGAACUGAGACACGGACCAGACUACUACGGGAGGCAGCAGAGGGGAAUAUUGGACAAUGGGCGCAAGCCUGAUCCAGCCAUACCGCGUGGGUGAAGAAGGCCUUUGGGUUGUAAAGCCCUUUUGUUGGGAAAGAAAAGCAGCAGGUUAAUACCCCGCUGUUCUGACGGUACCCAAAGAAUAAGCACCGGCUAACUUCGUG